rnacentral:rRNA from 1 species
AUUGAACGCUGGCGGCAGGCCUAACACAUACAAGUCGAACGGUAACAGGAAACAGCUUGCUGUUUCGCUGACGAGUGGCGGACGGGUGAGUAAUGUCUGGGAAACUGCCUGAUGGAGGGGGAUAACUACUGGAAACGGUAGCUAAUACCGCAUAACGUCGCAAGACCAAAGAGGGGGACCUUCGGGCCUCUUGCCAUCGGAUGUGCCCAGAUGGGAUUAGCUAGUAGGUGGGGUAACGGCUCACCUAGGCGACGAUCCCUAGCUGGUCUGAGAGGAUGACCAGCCACACUGGAACUGAGACACGGUCCAGACUCCUACGGGAGGCAGCAGUGGGGAAUAUUGCACAAUGGGCGCAAGCCUGAUGCAGCCAUGCCGCGUGUAUGAAGAAGGCCUUCGGGUUGUAAAGUACUUUCAGCGGGGAUGAAGGGAGUAAAGUUAAUACCUUUGCUCAUUGACGUUACCCGCAGAAGAAGCACCGGCUAACUCCGUG